CAGAGUUGCAAAGCUCCCACUAAACCAUUGUGAACGUUACCACACCUAAGUUGCUUCGGCGGGCGGCCCGGGUCCUUCCCGGCGCCCCUCGGCCCUCGCGGGCGCCCGCCGGAGGUAAACCAAACUAUUGCAUUGUAUGGCCUCUCUGAGUCUUCUGUACUGAAUAAGUCA
rnacentral:misc_RNA from 1 species